UGGGGAAUUUUGCACAAUGGGGGAAACCCUGAUGCAGCGACGCCGCGUGAUUUAGAAGGCCUUCGGGUUGUAAAAAUCUUUUGUAUGGGAAGAAAAUGACAGUACCAUACGAAUAAGGACCGGCUAAUUACGUGCCAGCAGCCGCGGUAAUACGUAUGGGGCGAGCGUUGUCCGGAAUUAUUGGGCGUAAAGGGUACGUAGGCGGUCUAUUAAGUCAGGUGUGAAAGCGUGAGGCUUAACCUCAUUAAGCACUUGAAACUGAUAGACUUGAGUGAAGGAGAGGAAAGUGGAAUUCCUAGUGUAGCGGUGAAAUGCGUAGAUAUUAGGAGGAAUACCGGUGGCGAAGGCGACUUUCUGGACUUUUACUGACGCUCAGGUACGAAAGCGUGGGGAGCAAACAGG
rnacentral:rRNA from 1 species